rnacentral:lncRNA from 1 species
CCCCAUAAAACCAUCAAAGCAUGAUGUUCUGCAGACUUUAGCUGCUCUCCCGGUUCUGGUUACAGACCAGCCCCUUUUACAUCCCCCUGCACUUUCCUUAUCUCUACACUAUAAAUAAACACACUGCAGUUGCCAGCCAGAGCUUUUCUCCCAUCAGGAGGAGAAGCCUCCACCUAGCCUCAGCUUUUGUAUCUCUUUGUCUUUUCUUCAUUCCCCACUGUUCUCCCUCCAAGGACCCUUCAGCCACACAGGCCGAGGCACAGGUACUCAAGCACGUGGGAAUCUGAGGCUCAAAGAGUGAAGUUUUGGCCAAGGGUGUGGGCUGUCUGUCUGAUCGCACACUUCUGUUCCAAUCUUCAUGCUGCACAGAUCGGUGAAGCAGAGGCUCAAAUCAGAGAGGCCCCAGUGGUACUCAAAGUUGUUGUUGUGGGUGAGGCUGUCAAAUUAAACAAGUAGGAAGAAGAAACCCAAGAAAAAGCUGCAAGAAAUGCAACAUUUAAUACACUGGCUACAAAUUAGUGGUCCCCACUUGGCCCACGGACAGUUUGUUAAGCUAGCACAGCUUUUUUUUUUUAAUUCUUUUAUUGGUACAUUGUAGGUAUACAACACAAUUACAUUUCUCAUUGGGGACUUGUACCUUUACAUGAUGCAUCUUGGUUCUUAUUUUUCCCCCUUCCCCUACCCUCCCUGCAACCCCUCCAGUCCUCCCUAUUUACAAAGAUUUUGUUCCUAUUUUUCCAUUUUCUCAUAUUAAUCCCAUUCCCUUCUUUCCUUUCCUCGACCCCUCCCACUUCCUUCCCCUUUGCCCCUUUUCUUCCUAUUUCACAUUACCUAUUAUACAUUUAGUCCUUAUUUACACUUUCAGUUUCUCACACCAGAGAAACUAUUUGGUAUUUAUACAUGUGUCCUUUUUAAAAAAAAUUGGUGCAUAUCAGUGCUACAGAAUAGUGAGAUUCAUGAUGGUACACUGGAACCUGCAUAUAGAAUAUUGUGAUUAUAUUUGUCCCUCUUAUCCCCCUAUGCCUAAUCCCUUCCUGUAGCACUACAAGAUUACCUUCUAGUUUCUUGUCCUUUUCCUUUUGUUUUUGUUUGUUUGUUCACGUAUAGAUGUCUUAUGUGAGAGAACGCAUGUGAUUGGUAGCUUUCUGAGACUGGCUUUAUUUCACUUACCCUGGUAUCAAUGCCUUUUGGGGGAAUAAGGCACAAUCCCCACUCCCUCAG